rnacentral:rRNA from 1 species
CAGCAGCCGCGGGAACACGAAGGGUGCAAGCGUUACUCGGAAUUACUGGGCGUAAAGCGUGCGUAGGUGGUGGUUUAAGUCCGUUGUGAAAGCCCUGGGCUCAACCUGGGAAUUGCAGUGGAUACUGGGUCACUAGAGUGUGGUAGAGGAUAGUGGAAUUUCCGGUGUAGCAGUGAAAUGCGUAGAGAUCGGAAGGAACAUCUGUGGCGAAGGCGACUAUCUGGGCCAACACUGACACUGAGGCACGAAAGCGUGGGGAGCAAACAGGAUUAGAUACCCCGGUAGUCCCUGUCUCUUAUAC